rnacentral:rRNA from 1 species
AGUGAACGCUGGCGGUAGGCCUAACACAUGCAAGUCGAACGGCAGCACAGUAAGCGCUUGCUCUUACGGGUGGCGAGUGGCGGACGGGUGAGGAAUACAUCGGAAUCUACUUUUUCGUGGGGGAUAACGUAGGGCCACUUACGCUAAUACCGCAUACGACCUACGGGUGAAAGCAGGGGUUCUUCGGACCUUGCGCGAUUGAAUGAGCCGAUGUCGGAUUAGCUAGUUGGCGGGGUAAAGGCCCACCAAGGCGACGAUCCGUAGCUGGUCUGAGAGGAUGAUCAGCCACACUGGAACUGAGACACGGUCCAGACUCCUACGGGAGGCAGCAGUGGGGAAUAUUGGGCAAUGGGCGCAAGCCUGAUCCAGCCAUACCGCGUGGGUGAAGAAGGCCUUCGGGUUGUAAAGCCCUUUUGUUGGGAAAGAAAAGCAGCAGGUUAAUACCCCGCUGUUCUGACGGUACCCAAAGAAUAAGCACCGGCUAACUUCGUG